AGAGUUUGAUCAUGGCUCAGAGUGAACGCUGGCGGCAGGCCUAACACAUGCAAGUCGAACGGUAGCACAGAGGAGCUUGCUCCUUGGGUGACGAGUGGCGGACGGGUGAGUAACACGUGGGCCACCUGCCCAACAGAGGGGGAUAACACUUGGAAACAGGUGCUAAUACCGCAUAGGUCAUCAUUCCACAUGGAAAGAUGACAAAAGACGCUACGGUGUCGCUGUUGGAUGGGCCCGCGCUGCAUUAGUUAGUUGGUGAGGUAACGGCUCACCAAGACCAUGAUGCAUAGCCGACCUGAGAGGGUGAUCGGCCACACUGGGACUGAGACACGGUCCAGACUCCUACGGGAGGCAGCAGUGGGGAAUAUUGCACAAUGGGGGAAACCCUGAUGCAGCCAUGCCGCGUGUGUGAAGAAGGCCUUAGGGUUGUAAGGUACUUUCAGUUGGGAGGAAGGCGUUGAUGCUAAUAUCAUCAACGAUUGACGUUACCAACAGAAGAAGCACCGGCUAACUCCGUGCCAGCAGCCGCGGUAAUAC
rnacentral:rRNA from 1 species